CUGUUCUCCUGGUUCUGCUCACUUCACUCAGCAUCAGUUCAUGGCCCCAGAUGUCUGGUGCUUUGCCAUUGACUCAAGGGGUUCCCUUCACGGAAUGUUAAUGGAAUCCAGGAUGUCUGGUGCCUACCCAUCAUGCCAAGGAGUCACCUGUAGGAACUCAGCCAAGGAACAGAUCUGCUUCUGACCUGCCAUGUGAAGUAUCCGACUUCUAAUAUCAAUCAAGCAACAAGCAUGUAUUAAGCACCUACUGUGUACCAGACACAAAGCAGUCCCUGCCUCAACAAGCAGUGGAGACAUUUGAGAAGAAUGGAGGGGUCAGAUCUGUGACUUUAGGAAGGUUAGCUUGGCAGCCACAGGGAAGACAUUGGAGAAGAAAAUGCCAGGAGGCAGGAAGGUCAGGAAGCCUGGACAUGAGGAAACCAAGUGAGAGACUACUGCAAUA